UUUUUUUUUUUCUGUACUUCCAUUGUUGCAGAUGUGUAGAGCACUCCCAUUUAGUAUUACUGGCUAACCAAUAGCUGCUCGUCAUGUGUACUUGCUGCCUCCUGGUAUUUAAAUGCAUUUUCCAGUUUCAACCGGCUUCUGCCACUACUGUAGUAGUUGAAGCCGUUGUCGUGGCGGAAGUCACAGCCUUCCUUCUCCUCUUCGGUGAACCACUCUCCAAUCCCGAUGAUGUCGAGGAUGAUGGCUCCGGCGAUGACCUCUUCGAAGUCACUCUCACCGGGUCGGGCUCCCCGGAAUUCACCCUCAACGGGAAAUUCAACAGCGCCCUCGAGCCACGCAUUCGAUAAGCAGCGCGAUCAUAAGCCAAAGCCGCAUCCUCCGCUGUCUCGAAUGU
rnacentral:misc_RNA from 1 species